GUGAAGAACGUAGCGAAAUGCGAUAAGUAAUGUGAAUUGCAGAAUUCAGUGAAUCAUCGAAUCUUUGAACGCACAUUGCGCCCCCUGGUAUUCCGGGGGGCAUGCCUGUCCGAGCGUCAUUACAACCCUCAAGCUCAGCUUGGUGUUGGGCCCCGCCGCCCCGGCGGGCCCUAAAGUCAGUGGCGGUGCCGUCCGGCUCCGAGCGUAGUAAUUCUUCUCGCUCUGGAGGUCCGGUCGUGUGCUCGCCAGCAACCCCCAAUUUUUUUCAGGUUGACCUCGGAUCAGGUAGGGAUACCCGCUGAACUUAAGCAUAUCAAUAAGCGGAGGA
rnacentral:misc_RNA from 1 species